UGUAUGUUUGUUUGGGGGAAAAGCAAAGCUGUAGCUGCACAUCGUAGCCUCUUUAUGUUGUUUUGUUUUUUGUCACUGGUCUUUUAAGUACUUAGUUAUUUUCUUGCUUCAUUCACCUCCAAGUUACCACCAUCACCAUUUCUCACCAUCGUCACGAUGUUACCGUUUCACCGCUGUCAACUGCAUCUACAGCACAGCACCACCACACUCAGGCCGUCAAUACUACGACUAAUUGGUACAUAAUCAGAUUACAGGGAAAUUUGCAUGCUGGUUACUCUGAAAGUUCAGACCACUUUCAACUCGCUGUAGUGGCCAGUCAUUGAUGACUAAGGAAGAAAACAUCCCAGUAUACCUUGUCAAUAUUCUGCGAUUAUGGAUGUCCGACAGCUCUCUUCUGGUCGGCGUGGAUCCGCUUGUUAGGCCAGUCACCUGCAGUGUCCCACAGUGCUCAGUGCUCUGCCUGAGUCUGUGGUAUGUGAAUUAUGAUGAUCUACUAAUGAUGAAUGUACUAGCCGGAGGUCAGCUAAUUGGCUUUUGGCUUGUGGUAGUUGGAGUGGCCCGGACUGGGCAGGUGUUGGAAGAUCAGAUUAACUCUCUCCUAGAUCGCGUUGAAGCAUGGAUGACCAUUCGAGACCUAAAGUAAUAUAACAUGCGUAUGCAAAUUAAUAGGUAUGUAUUUUAAUUAUAAGCUGUAAGAAAAAUGUAAAAAUAGCGUGUUUAUCACUUUAUCAGUUAUCUACUCUGCGUACUAUACCUACCACAUAAUAAAAAAUACUAAAUUCUAACUUUUAUGGCUU